GAAAGAUCCGGUUUCAUGUGAAGAAACUAAAAGUGAAACUGUGUGCGUGUGGUGGUCGUUGUUGUUGUUGCUGCCUCCUACUGCUGCUGAUGCUGACGAUGACGACGACGUCGACAAUGAUAAUGAUAAUGAUGAUGAUGAUGACGACGACGACAGCCACGGUGACGAUGAUGAUGACGACGACGAUGAUGAUUAUGAUGACGACGAUGACGAUGAUGAUGCUGAUAAUGAAGAUGACGACGACGACGAUGG